rnacentral:rRNA from 1 species
UACGAAGGGGGCUAGCGUUGCUCGGAAUCACUGGGCGUAAAGGGUGCGUAGGCGGGUCUUUAAGUCCGGGGGGAAAUCCUGGAGCUCAACUCCAGAACUGCCUUUGAUACUGGUAAGCUCGAGUCCGGGAGAGGUGAGUGGAACUGCGAGUGUAGAGGUGAAAUUCGUAGAUAUUCGCAAGAACACCAGUGGCGAAGGCGGCUCACUGGCCCGGUACUGACGCUGAGGUGCGAAAGCGUGGGGAGCAAACAGG